CCCAGACAUGUAAACACAUUCCUUCAGCUUUUCAUUUUAUAAACAAUUUGUUCAACAAGGUAACUUUCUUAAUUUUCUACUCGGCUCUUAAAAUAAACAAUCAGCUAAUAGCUGCUUUCUGCAUCUUCCUUGCAAUUCAGGAGUACACAACACUAAAAGUCCAAUACUCAGUACCCCCUAGCCUAAAUUCCCCACCCGCUACUGUAACUAAGUUUACAGCCCACGUUAUGGCAGUUCACCCGCUAGGCAGAUAUGCUCAGUACCCCCUAGUUUAAGUUCCCCACCCGCUAUUGUAACCAAGUUUACAGCCCACGUUAUGGCAGUUCACCCGCUAGGCAGAUAUGCUCAGUACCCCCUAGCCUAAGUUCCCCACCCGCUACUGUAACUAAGUUUACAGCCCAUGUUAUGGCAGUUCACCCACUAGGCAGAUAUGCUCAGUACCCCCUAGCCUAAGUUCCCCACCCGCUACUGUAACUAAGUUUACAGCCCACGUUAUGGC